CUUUGAUAAGGCUGUUGUACCAAUUUUGUUAUAUGGAUCAGAGAUUUGGGGGUUUGAAAACUUUGACUUGUUAGAGCGAGUACACCUAAAAUUUUGUAAACUCAUUUUACAUUUGAAGCAAUCAACCCCAGACUGUAUAGUUUAUGCAGAACUAGGCAGAUUCCCAUUAUUUCUUUAUGCAAAAGUUCGUAUGAUAAAUUUUUGGGGCAGAAUU
rnacentral:lncRNA from 1 species